GGGUCAGCCCGAGCCUUUGGCGGAUGCACACCGGCUGUAGCUUUUGCCCGUAUGAAGCUUUUUUCACACAAGCCUUAUUAUGAGUUCUUUAUUGAAAAAUACACUUGCAAUAUUUUCAUACAAAUGAAUGUAAAUGGUACAGAAUAACAAGAAUUGUCUGACAAGUUCAUAAAUAUUUUUACAGAAACAUUACACCACUGCUCGACUUCAGCCCUUCUUACACAGGACACAUUUGACUAUGAGUGCCUCGGUACAAUGCUCCCAUGUUUGAUACAUAUGCAACUUCCUAUUCCAAAGCUGAAAAUGGUCAAGCAUUGAUGAAAACACUGUGCAGAAUUCAUAUCCUGAAUGAAGAUGCUGCUUGGAUAAGGCCUCUACUUCAUUGUGGGUGGCUGGACAUCGUGGGAUUGAGCCUGUUCCAUGUUCACUUGGUGAGUUCUGCUGGCUGCUGCUAUCGCUGCUGCCAGACUGGCGGCGGCGUCUCCUGCCUUUUAUCAGGACACUCCGAUACACCUGCAAGGAAACAAGCAUAACAGUAUGGUCACAGUUUGCCCGUUAUUGGCUGUUACGGUGGCGGUUGCUACUGUAACCAAUGUCUGGCCCGGCACUGGAGUUACUGAUACUGCUUCAGGAUUUACAUUCUGCACAGGCACCGUAUUUACCACGGGCUGCUGGGAAACUCUGACUGGAGUUCCAUUGUCAGAGGUAUUAUCAUUAUCAACAAACAGCCUUCUCCUUGUAGGAUGGGCUGUAGGAGAACUGUAUCUGUCAUACAGUGUAGUAGGAGAAGAUGAAAUGCCUGUGGAUUUAAAAAAAAUCUUGUAAAAUCCCUUAUUAUACAAAUAGAUAAAAAGGAAAUUUGAUGAGGCCCCAAACAUAACAACUGGAAGCAUUUAAAAUUAAUGUCUACAUCUGUGGCUUACAGAUUAUGAGAUGACUUGAUCUCAAAUAAUGUGGUACUGAACAUCUUUUUUUCAGCGACGGUGCUAUGCUUUAGUUCCCCAGAAAAAAACCUGAAGCCUCACAGAACUAAACAUACAUUGGUGUAACAAAACAAGCUGCUCAGGUGCUGCUAAUCAGAACAAGACGUAUUUAUACACAUAUGUGUGUAUACAUAUGUUGCUAAUAUACACAAACUCCUGAAACCACUGACACAGGACUGUUUUGAUCUGAAAUAAUUAACAUUUCUGUCUUAGACAUCUGACUUAACUAUGCAAGUUACAAUGGAAAUACCAUUUACAAGUGCCUAAUUUGUGCAUAAUUGUACAUUCACCAUUAGAGCAGCUUCCUUCCUGUAUGCCAUUUAGAUCUGUAAAUGCAGGACAUGGUGGAGGAGUGAUAAAUACAUUGUGCUUAAAAAAUAGCUCACCUUUUCCCAGGCCUCCACUUUCAGCUCGGACCUCAUUUAGUCGUCUUGGUGUCAAUGGAGAACCCACAACACUGUUGGCAGCAGAUCUCUCAAAAUACUGAGGUGGCAUGACCUAAAAUAGUUGUACUUCUAUUAGUGUGUCUGUAGCACAAAUUCAAUGCAUAACCGAUUUUUAGAACUUCGAGUCUGAAAAUGUUGAACAGUGAAAAUAUAUAGAGGAAAAGAAAAACGAAGAACAUAGAAACAUUACUGUAAACUUAAAUUAAAAACUUCGUAAUUGUUGUACUAUUCUAGAAAAUAAAUUCUGUAAUAAUCUUUCUGUGAGUGUAAUUAAGUCUGUAGUUAACCACACUUCUGGAGCAGUCUUCUCAAGAGUGACUGUUUCAUACUCCUGUGUGUUCAUUAUUCACUGUGCUGCUACUCUAUGCGAGUAUGGGGCGAGAAUCCCACGGCUGGAUGUCUGCAUUUGGACAUCUCUAUAGCAGUAAUAGGUCACACACAAACACACGUAACUCUUUCUCUGCCCUACUUAGCUUGUAGGGAGCAACUCAACUCUGGGCAUGCAAAGCGUCUCCUGCAAGAGAUCCUGCUGAUGUCCACUCUUCACCAUUCUGUUUGAACAGGAAACCCACAUGAGACGUGUUAUGGAAUACAGAGAAGUGCCCACCUCUUCACAGCUAGGAACUUUGUUGUCAUUAUCUCUGAUUCUGUCCCACAAUAUGGACUCCUGUUUCCAGGCCAUGCUUUCCAAGAUCUGUUCUUCAAUAUGAUUAAGGUGUUUUACAACUUCCCGACAAAGGCCAUCUUCUGCUCUAAUGAAAACCUCAAUUACCUGUAAAGCAGAGAAUGAUGAAAUCCAUGUAAUACUGAAUAAAUCAGUGAUUGAAUAUAA